AACGCACAUGGCGCCCCCCGGCAUCCCGGGGGGCAUGCCUGUCCGAGCGUCGUUUCAACCCUCGGGCCGCCCCUCGCGGCGGCCCGGCGUUGGGGAUCUACGCGCAGCGUAGGCCCCGAAAUGCAGUGGCGGACCCGCGCCGGCCCCCCCUUUGCGCAGUAGCGACAGCCUCGCAUCGGGAGCCCGCGGGCGUCUCCAGCCUCUAAACACACCCCAAGCCCGCCCCGGCGGCACCAAGGUUGACCUCGGAUCAGGUAGGAAUACCCGCUGAACUUAA
rnacentral:misc_RNA from 1 species